rnacentral:rRNA from 1 species
CGUGUAGGCGGUUUGUACAGUCAGAUGUGAAAUCCCCGGGCUUAACCUGGGAGCUGCAUUUGAUACGUGCAGACUAGAGUGUGAGAGAGGGUUGUGGAAUUCCCAGUGUAGAGGUGAAAUGCGUAGAUAUUGGGAGGAACACCAGUGGCGAAGGCGCCUUUCUGGACUGUGUCUGACGCUGAGAUGCGAAAGCCAGGGUAGCGAACG